rnacentral:rRNA from 1 species
UGAGUCAAAGUUUAUGUGCCUCCACAGAGCAUCAGGUAUCUUUCAGAAGUUUGAUCAUAGGCUCCCUUAGUUGAACGCUGGCGGGAUGCCACAUGCAGUCGAACAGCAGCACGGACUUCGGUCUGGUGGCAGUGGCAGGCAGGUGGUAAUGUAUCGGACGUUGCCCUAAGCAGGGAUAACUAAGCGUAGCUAAUACCGCAUACGCCCUUCGGGGAAAACGAGGGGACGGGCUCACCUAUGAAAGCAGCCGAUAUCCGGACCAGCUGGAUUGGUGGAGUAACGGCUCACCAAGGCGACGAUCCGUAGCUGGUUUUGAGAGGACGACCAGCCCCUGGGGAUUGAGACACGGCCCAGACUCUGAGGCAGCAGUGGGGAAUUUUUGGUUCAUGGAGAGAAGACACAGUCAACCACUGCAUCCCCGCAUUGUGCGAUGAAGGCCUUCGGGUUGUAAAGCACUUUGGCAGAAGAAACGGCACGGGAUAAUACCCCGUGCAACUGACGGUACCUGCAGAAUAAGCACCGGCUAACUACGUGCCAGCAGCCGCCGGUAAUACGUAGGGUGCAAGCGUUAAUCGGAAUUACUGGGCGUAAAGCGUGCGCAGGCGGUUCGGAAAGAAAGAUGUGAAAUCGAGGCUUACUUUCAGAAGAUUGUUUUAACUGCAAGCUGAAAUACCGUAUGGGGAAGUGAGUCAUCGUAACGUGAUGAAAUGCGUAGAUAUGCGGAGGAACACCGAUGGCGAAGGCAGCCUCCUGGGAUAACACUGACGCUCAUGCAGCGGUAAACAGGAUUAGAUACCCUGGUAGUCCACGCCCAGCGCAAAUCGCUAUAUUUGGGGCCUUCGGGCCUUGGUAGCGCAGCUAACGCGUGAAGUUGACCGCCUGGGAAGUACGGUCACUAAGUGCGCUCAAAGGAAUUGACGGGGACCCGCACAAGCAUUGGAUGAUGUGGAUUAAUUCGAUGCAACGCGAAAAGCCUUACCUACCCAGCGGCAUGUCUGGAAUCCCGAAGAGAUUUGGGAGUGCUCGCAAAGAAGGAACCGGAACACAAGUGCUGCAACCACCGUCGUCAGCUCGUGUCGUGAGAUGUUGGGUUAAGUCCGCAGCGAGGCGCAGCCCUUGUCAUUAGUUACUGAAAGGGCACUCUAAUGGGCCGAUGGACAUCAACCAGAGGAAGGGUGGUGUCGAGAUCUCAUGGCCACUACUCGAUGCGACUUACAUCAUCUAAAUGGUCGGGACAGAGGUCGCCAACCCGCGAGGAGUGUCCGAAGGCCAAUCAGCGGUCGGAUCCGCGAUACAACUCGACUGCGUGAAGUCCCGGAAUCCGCUAGUAAUCGCGGAUCAGCAUGUCGCGGUGAAUACCGUUCCCGGGUCUUGUACACACCGCCCGUCACACCAUGGGAGGUGGUUCCCAAUGGUUAGCCUAACCGUAAGGAGGGCGAUUACCACAGUAGGAUUCAUGACUGGGGUGAAGUCGUAACAAAGGUAG